GAAAAAAAAGAAAAAUCAGACCACCUCUAGGAUAGACUCAGAACCCUUCUGCCCUCGUGGACAGCUCGAGUCUCCCCUUACUGACUGUAGAAUGGGUGAACACGUGAACUCUCCUCACCCUCCUGACCUUUAUCCUGAUUGGCUCUUGUAUCUUAUAUUAGCUGUAUGUGCUUCCUCAAUAAAUGAGCUCCAGCCUUGACUGGUCUCCCUGAUGUCUCUGAUAGUUCUCCAGUGAGGGAGGGCUGGGUGCGGGCGGUCAGUCGACCCUCUCCUUUCUUGGCUUGUCCUGGCUGGGGCAUGUUCUCCCUAUUUCUCCUGCAGGUCGGAGGGAACGAGGACUAAAAUCCCUGACAUCUGGCACCCGGAUAGGGACAAGAAGAAGUGGGUUCACCAAAAGUGAAAGUAUCGGCUAGCCAAGCCAAGCGAGUUCCAAGGACCCUCCUCCUACAGAAAUGAUACAAUGUUGCCAAAGACGGACAUCCAAUGAUCAGAAUUUGGAAGUGGUCACUCGCAAACCUAGGACACCUUCAUGAAAAAAAAUAAUAAUCAGAACUAUCCACAUGAAAAAGCUUCCCUCACGCCUCCCCCAACAGGACCUGCAGCCAUUUACUACAGUAACUAUGCAUUAAGGAAAAAGAAAUACCCUACUGGUCUUGAGGGCAGGAGGGGGGCUCUGUCCCUCUUCUCUCAGAGAUGACCCCCUCACCCUCAAGUGUCCCUUUCUCCCCUUUUCUAUCCCUUCUAAUAAACUCAUGUCUGUCUGCAACAA